GGACUACCCGGGUUUCUAAUCCUGUUUGAUCCCCACACUUUCGUGCAUCAGCGUCAGUUACAGCCCAGUAAGCUGCCUUCGCUAUCGGUGUUCUUGACGAUAUCUAUGCAUUUCACCGCUACACCGUCAAUUCCGCCUACCUCAUCUGUACUCAAGCCCUGCAGUAUCAAUGCCACCCUCUCGGUUAAGCCGAGAUAUUUCAGCACUGACUUACAGGGCCGCCUACGCACCCUUUAAACCCAAUAAAUCCGGACAACGCUCGCCACCUACGUAUUACCGCGGCUGCUGGCAC
rnacentral:rRNA from 1 species